rnacentral:rRNA from 1 species
UUAAGCGACUAAGCGUACACGGUGGAUGCCCUGGCAGUCAGAGGCGAUGAAGGACGUGCUAAUCUGCGAUAAGCGUCGGUGAGGUGAUAUGAACCGUUAUAACCGGCGAUUUCCGAAUGGGGAAACCCAGUGUGUUUCGACACACUAUCAUUAACUGAAUCCAUAGGUUAAUGAGGCGAACCGGGGGAACUGAAACAUCUAAGUACCCCGAGGAAAAGAAAUCAACCGAGAUUCCCCCAGUAGCGGCGAGCGAACGGGGAGGAGCCCAGAGCCUGAAUCAGUGUGUGUGUUAGUGGAAGCGUCUGGAAAGGCGCGCGAUACAGGGUGACAGCCCCGUACACAAAAAUGCACAUACUGUGAGCUCGAUGAGUAGGGCGGGACACGUGGUAUCCUGUCUGAAUAUGGGGGGACCAUCCUCCAAGGCUAAAUACUCCUGACUGACCGAUAGUGAACCAGUACCGUGAGGGAAAGGCGAAAAGAACCCCGGCGAGGGGAGUGAAAAAGAACCUGAAACCGUGUACGUACAAGCAGUGGGAGCCUCUUAAUGGGGUGACUGCGUACCUUUUGUAUAAUGGGUCAGCGACUUAUAUUCUGUAGCAAGGUUAACCGAAUAGGGGAGCCGAAGGGAAACCGAGUCUUAACUGGGCGUUAAGUUGCAGGGUAUAGACCCGAAACCCGGUGAUCUAGCCAUGGGCAGGUUGAAGGUUGGGUAACACUAACUGGAGGACCGAACCGACUAAUGUUGAAAAAUUAGCGGAUGACUUGUGCUGGGGGUGAAAGGCCAAUCAAACCGGGAGAUAGCUGGUUCUCCCCGAAAGCUAUUUAGGUAGCGCCUCGUGAAUUCAUCUCCGGGGGUAGAGCACUGUUUCGGCAAGGGGGUCAUCCCGACUUACCAACCCGAUGCAAACUGCGAAUACCGGAGAAUGUUAUCACGGGAGACACACGGCGGGUGCUAACGUCCGUCGUGAAGAGGGAAACAACCCAGACCGCCAGCUAAGGUCCCAAAGUCAUGGUUAAGUGGGAAACGAUGUGGGAAGGCCCAGACAGCCAGGAUGUUGGCUUAGAAGCAGCCAUCAUUUAAAGAAAGCGUAAUAGCUCACUGGUCGAGUCGGCCUGCGCGGAAGAUGUAACGGGGCUAAACCAUGCACCGAAGCUGCGGCAGCGACACUAUGUGUUGUUGGGUAGGGGAGCGUUCUGUAAGCCUGUGAAGGUGGCCUGUGAGGGUUGCUGGAGGUAUCAGAAGUGCGAAUGCUGACAUAAGUAACGAUAAAGCGGGUGAAAAGCCCGCUCGCCGGAAGACCAAGGGUUCCUGUCCAACGUUAAUCGGGGCAGGGUGAGUCGACCCCUAAGGCGAGGCCGAAAGGCGUAGUCGAUGGGAAACAGGUUAAUAUUCCUGUACUUGGUGUUACUGCGAAGGGGGACGGAGAAGGCUAUGUUGGCCGGGCGACGGUUGUCCCGGUUUAAGCGUGUAGGCUGGUUUUCCAGGCAAAUCCGGAAAAUCAAGGCUGAGGCGUGAUGACGAGGCACUACGGUGCUGAAGCGACAAAUGCCCUGCUUCCAGGAAAAGCCUCUAAGCAUCAGGUAACAUCAAAUCGUACCCCAAACCGACACAGGUGGUCAGGUAGAGAAUACCAAGGCGCUUGAGAGAACUCGGGUGAAGGAACUAGGCAAAAUGGUGCCGUAACUUCGGGAGAAGGCACGCUGAUAUGUAGGUGAAGCGACUUGCUCGUGGAGCUGAAAUCAGUCGAAGAUACCAGCUGGCUGCAACUGUUUAUUAAAAACACAGCACUGUGCAAACACGAAAGUGGACGUAUACGGUGUGACGCCUGCCCGGUGCCGGAAGGUUAAUUGAUGGGGUUAGCGGUAACGCGAAGCUCUUGAUCGAAGCCCCGGUAAACGGCGGCCGUAACUAUAACGGUCCUAAGGUAGCGAAAUUCCUUGUCGGGUAAGUUCCGACCUGCACGAAUGGCGUAAUGAUGGCCAGGCUGUCUCCACCCGAGACUCAGUGAAAUUGAACUCGCUGUGAAGAUGCAGUGUACCCGCGGCAAGACGGAAAGACCCCGUGAACCUUUACUAUAGCUUGACACUGAACAUUGAGCCUUGAUGUGUAGGAUAGGUGGGAGGCUUUGAAGUGUGGACGCCAGUCUGCAUGGAGCCGGCCUUGAAAUACCACCCUUUAAUGUUUGAUGUUCUAACGUUGGCCCGUAAUCCGGGUUGCGGACAGUGUCUGGUGGGUAGUUUGACUGGGGCGGUCUCCUCCUAAAGAGUAACGGAGGAGCACGAAGGUUGGCUAAUCCUGGUCGGACAUCAGGAGGUUAGUGCAAUGGCAUAAGCCAGCUUGACUGCGAGCGUGACGGCGCGAGCAGGUGCGAAAGCAGGUCAUAGUGAUCCGGUGGUUCUGAAUGGAAGGGCCAUCGCUCAACGGAUAAAAGGUACUCCGGGGAUAACAGGCUGAUACCGCCCAAGAGUUCAUAUCGACGGCGGUGUUUGGCACCUCGAUGUCGGCUCAUCACAUCCUGGGGCUGAAGUAGGUCCCAAGGGUAUGGCUGUUCGCCAUUUAAAGUGGUACGCGAGCUGGGUUUAGAACGUCGUGAGACAGUUCGGUCCCUAUCUGCCGUGGGCGCUGGAGAACUGAGGGGGGCUGCUCCUAGUACGAGAGGACCGGAGUGGACGCAUCACUGGUGUUCGGGUUGUCAUGCCAAUGGCACUGCCCGGUAGCUAAAUGCGGAAGAGAUAAGUGCUGAAAGCAUCUAAGCACGAAACUUGCCCCGAGAUGAGUUCUCCCUGACCCUUUAAGGGUCCUGAAGGAACGUUGAAGACGACGACGUUGAUAGGCCGGGUGUGUAAGCGCAGCGAUGCGUUGAGCUAACCGGUACUAAUGAACCGUGAGGCUUAACCUU